UCGAACGAGACGGGUUACAGUUUACUGUAACUGUCAGCUAAGUGGCGCACGGGUGAGUAAUAUAUAGUUAACCUGCCUCAAAGAAGAGAAUAAUUGUUGGAAACGACUUGUAAUGCUCUAUAUGCCUUUAUCACAAAAGUGAGCAAGGGAAAUAUUUAUAGCUUUGAGAUGGGACUGUACGGUAUCAGUUUGUUGGUGAGGUAAUGGCUCACCAAGACUAUGACGCCUAACUGGUUUGAGAGGAUGAUCAGUCACACUGGAACUGAGACACGGUCCAGACUCCUACGGGAGGCAGCAGUGGGGAAUAUUGCACAAUGGAGGAAACUCUGAUGCAGCAACGCCGCGUGGAGGAUGACACAUUUCGGUGCGUAAACUCCUUUUAUUAGGGAAGAUAAUGACGGUACCUAAUGAAUAAGCACCGGCUAACUCCGUGCC
rnacentral:rRNA from 1 species